rnacentral:tRNA from 1 species
UCGGGGAUCGUCUAACGGCAGGACGGCGGGUUCUGGCCCCGCUAGUCGAGGUUCAAAUCCUCGUCCCCGAG